rnacentral:rRNA from 1 species
UACGUAGGGGGCAAGCGUUGUCCGGAUUUAUUGGGUUUAAAGGGUGCGUAGGCGGCCUAUUAAGUCAGUGCUGGAAUAUCCCGGCUUAACCGGGAGGGUGGCAUUGAUACUGAUGGGCUUGAGUAAAGUUGAGGUAGGCGGAAUUGACGGUGUAGCGGUGAAAUGCUUAGAUAUCGUCAAGAACACCUAUUGCGAAGGCAGCUUACUAAGCUUUAACUGACGCUGAUGCACGAAAGUGUGGGGAUCAAACAGG